AAAAAGAUAAGCUAAAUAAGCUAUUGGGCCCAUAACUCAAUUAUGAAGGAAUAAUUCUCUUUUUA
rnacentral:tRNA from 1 species